rnacentral:rRNA from 1 species
GGCCUUUUGAUAAUAAUUUAAGGUCGGGCCUGCCCAAUGACUAAGUUUAAUGGCCGCGGUAUAUUAACUGUGCAAAGGUAGCAUAAUCAUUAGUUUUUUAAUUGAGAGCUGGAAUGAAGGGUUUAAUGAAAAAAGUUCUGUCUCUAACUAAGUUUUUUAGAAAUUUAUUUUUAAGUAAAAAAGCUUAAAUAAUUAUUGAAGACGAGAAGACCCUAUAGAGUUUUAUAUUUUUGAUAUUUAUUGUAUUUAGUAUUUUUAAAUUAAAUUUUAAGAAUAUUUAGUUGGGGUGACUAAAAAAUUAAAUAAACUUUUUAUUAAAAUUAACACUAAUUAGUGAGAAAAUGAUCCUUUUUUUAGAUUAAAAGAUAAAAUUACCUUAGGGAUAACAGCGUAAUUUUUCUUAGAGUUCUUAUCGAAAGAAAAGAUUGCGACCUCGAUGUUGGAUUAAAAUAAAUUAUUGGUGUAGAAGCUGAUAUAAUUGGGUCUGUUCGACCUUUAAAUUUUUACAUGAUCUGAGUUUAGACCGGUUUAAG